UUAAACUAUCAAAGUAGUUUGGCCUUUUCUAGAUAAUUUUUUGAUAAUAGAUGUUUUUAGCGAUAAUAAAAUUAUUAUUCAUUGAAAUUCAGAUUUAUGCAGCGUUACAAGUUGGCCCAAUACAUGUUGUUUCAUAUGACACAAUUGGGGUCGUUAUAACUUUCUUGACGCAACCUGUACUAGUUUUUUCUGUAUUGUCUGGGCAUCUACUAUCUGGUUUUGUUACCAAAACGCACUCCUUAUUGUCAAACAAAGUAUAUGGAUCAUUGCAUGUUAAUGAGAAUGGAGCAUAUUCAACAAUAUAGCAUGUGCCAUCUUGAUCGGUAACAUACCCAGAUGGACAACUGGAAACUACUGGUGUAGAUUCUAUCUUUUCACAACCACCGGAUGGGCACACCUUAGGUGCGAAUCUUGCGCAUCUAUCACCCAAUAGUUGACUAUCAGCUGUACAGCUUAAUGAAUAUGGAGCAAAAACUUCUCUUGAACAAACAGUUGUCCUCACAAUGCUUACUUCCUGAGUAACUGCAUGAUGAUGAUGAUGAUGUCCUAGAGCGUGAUGAUGUCCAGAACUAUGAUGUGGAUGAUUUGAAGCUGUUCCUAAAGACCUUCUGGUUCCUUGGGCAACUCCAGCCUCCAUUGUGUAACCCGGUGGGCAAACAAGCUCUGGUGGGAAUGUUCUUAUUCUCUCGCAAUCGCCAUUUGGACAGACUUUAUCUGCAUAUUUUGCGCACUUAUCGCUGAUAACUAUUAAUCCAGGUGGGCAUGCCAAUUCAUAAUCUGCAUAUUCAUUAGCAAUACACCUCUGUCCACUUCUCUCAAAGUUUUGAGGACAAGAGAGAAUUGGUGGUAUAUAACUGAUUCUUUCACAAUUGUUGUUUGGACAAACCUUUGCUGUUGAUUGUUGGCACAUAUCUCCCAAUAAUCUGAAUCCAUCUGGACAUUGUAGUGCAUAUGGCUCAUAAACAUUUCUCAUACAUUGACUUGCUCCACUGGCUUUAUGACCAUGGGAUCUGAUUGCAACACCAGCCUGAGGUCUAUAAUAUCCAGGUGGGCACUCCAUCGUUGGUGGUGAACGAAUGAGUUGUUCGCAGUUUCCAUCUGGGCAAACUUUAACAGUAUGGAUCGCGCAUUUAUCUCCGAUUAUUGAAUAAUUAUCUGGACAAGAAAGGUCAUAAGGUGUAUAUAUUUGUUUUGUACACUCUUGUAAUAACUGGUUUCCAUGUCCAUGUCCAUGUCCUGCAUGAUCUGAAUGAUGAUUUGAUUGUGGUCUAGUAAAUCCAGGUGGGCAUACCAUAUUGGCAGGUUUACUUAUCAAUCUCUCGCAGUUACCAUUUGGACAGAUUUUAUUUGUAAACAAUGCACAUCUAUCCCCUAAUAACACGAACCCUGAUGAACAUACUAAACUAUACUCUUCAAAAAUAGUUCUAACACAUUCUGCUGAAGGUGUUGAAUAAUGAUGUGUUCCGGCGGUAUGCUUGCUUGAAAUUGCUGUUUGAAUUCCGUUGGCAUUUCUGUAACCUUGUGGACAUGAAAGAGUUGGUGGAACGACGACUUGUUUUCUGCAGUCACCUUGUAGACAAAUUUUUUCUGUUUUUUCGAUACAUUUGUCGCCAUCUAAAAUAAAUGGAGAUUCGCAUUUUAAAAUAUAAGGUACUGAAAUUGUCUUAAUGCACUCAGGGGAAGCUAGAUUUCUGUGAUGAUGAUGAUGAUGAUGAUGAUGUCCUUGAUAAAUUGUGCCGGUUUGGUAAACUGGAGUUGGAUAAGUUGUUAAAAUUUCCUGUGUUUGAUGAAUUACUUGUGGCUGAUAAUUUACUUGUCUUUGUUGAAUUACUUGUGGUUGGUUAAUAGUUUGUGGUUGGACGGGAACAGAAACAUUUGGAUGGUUAAUAUGAGAAUGGCUUAUUGGCUGAAUUGGUUUAGAUGAUGAGAAUCCUGGAGGGCAUACUAAUUCAGCAGGCUCAUUAUAUAUACGCUCGCAAUUACCAUUUGGACAUAUUUUAUCCGAAUAUGUAACACAUUUAUCCGCUACAAGUCUUGAUCCAACAGGACAGAUAAGAUUAUAUGGAGCAUGGUCUGCAUGGAUGCAUUUCAUUUGCUGAAUAGGAGCAACAACUGGAACUGGUUGUGGUGGCUGAGAAAUUACAGGAGUAUAUUUAUGUCCAUGAGAAUAUCCCUUUUGAGAAGUAGAUUGAACCCCAGCUAAGUGUCUGUGGUGUGGAUGAGCAGAAAUAUUCAUAACUUCAUCUAUUUGGUGAUAUCCAGGGGGACAAGUUAAAGAAACAGGCGCAGUUACAACUCUUUGGCAACUUUCAUUCGGGCAAACUUUUUCUCUUGUGGUAGCGCAUUUGUCUCCAACCAAUGCAUAUCCUGCAGGGCAUGCAAGAUCAUAUGGUGAAUAUUUGUUAACUUGACAUUGAGAUCCUACAUCUACAGAACCUGGCGGACAUUUUAAAGUAGGUGGAGUUUUUACAAACUUAGCACACUCUUUUGAUCUUGUUCCAUCUUGACAAAUUGCUUCUAAUGGGUAGUAAUUUGUUAAUACACAUUCUUUUCCUACAAGUUCAGCAUUGUUCUCGCAAAUAGGCACAGCUGGGACAGAAUCAGCUUUUGUACAAGUUUUUGGGGUAAUUUUUGGAACAUCUUCACAAAUUGGCCUUGGAGCCUCUUUAUGAUGUUGUGUAUGUAUAUUCUGGGUUUGAAUUGGUAUAACUUGUGAAUGUGAAUGCCCAUGAGAAUGACCAUGAUGAUGUCCUGGAUUUUGUAUCUCAGAUGUUUCAUAAACUGUUGAUGUUUCUUUUGCAGCUGCUAAUCUUCUUAGUGCUUUAACAUCAGGUGUUUUACACUCUGUAACAUAAGUUGUUACUGAACAGUCAUAUUGGCUUCUUCUAACACAUUGUUUACCUGUUUCCAAUGAAUAACCAGGUGGGCAUUCCAAAACAGGCGAACUAAUCGAUCUCUCUACGCAAACGUCCCCCUCUCUAGUACCAACAGGACAAACGUAUUGAAGAGCCCCGGGAACAAGUCUUGUGCACGAGUCUCCAUCCAACGCAGAACCUGGAGGACAUUCUGGUGUUUUUGGUGAGGUAGUUGUUUGAACACACUGUUGAUUUUGUAGAGUGAAUCCAGUAGGACAUACAGUUGAAGCAGGAGAAAAUUGGAUACAAUCGUCUCCAUUUGGUAAAAAUCCAUCUGGGCAGAUAGCAUCGAUCAUUUUUAGUGCAGUACAUUGAUUUCCUUGAAGUUUAUAUCCUGGUGGACAUUCUGAAACAGGAGGUGCUUCUUUUAUUUGCUCGCAUUGGGAUCCAGAAAGUGUAUAUCCAGGUGGGCAUUCUCUGUUUGGUGCGGAGAAAGAAGCACAAUUUGUACCAUUAUCAAUAAAACCAGUUGGACAUACCAUAUUUAUCCUUUCAACUUUUUGGCAUUGUCCAUUUACCAGGUUUGUACCUGGAGGACACUCUGGUUGUGGUGGAGCUUGAGUAGUUUGGGUACAUUGUUUUCCAAUUAAUACAAAACCUGUUGGACACUCCUUUUCUGGUUGAGAAAACUGAACACAGUCUGAUCCAUUGUCGAGAUAUCCAGGUGGACAAAUGGCAUCUUCUAGUUCAUAUGAAAUACAACUGUUAUUUUCCAAGGUUGUACCUGGUGGGCAUUCUGUUAAUCUUGGAGCAGAUUCUGUUUUAACACAUUGUUUUCCGGAAAGAGAAAAUCCUUGGGGGCAAAUUUUCUCUGGUGCAGAAAAUUGGACACAAUCUUCGCCAUUAUCUACAAACCCUGGUGGACAAAUUGUAUCAACUCUUUCUAUCGAUUGACAUUGAUCAUCUUUUAAAAUUGUACCUGGUGGGCAUUCGAAUUCCAUGGGAGCAUUUACCAUUUGAACGCACCUGUUCCCACUCAAUGUAAACCCGGGUGGGCAUUCCUUUGUGACUGGAGAAUAUUUUACACAAUCUUUUCCAUUGUCUAAAAAUUCUGGUGGACAGAUAGCAUCGAUUGCUUGGACUGAAAUACAGGCAUUAUCUUGUAAUACUGUACCUGGAGGGCAGACAGGUUGAGUUGGAGCAGAACUAGUUUGUAUACAUUGGAGGCCUUGUAAAAUGAAAUUUGGUGGGCAUUCCUUUGCAGGAGCUACAUAUAGUACACAAUCAUCUCCUGAGUCUGUAUAUCCUGGUGGGCAGACCAUAUCAAUAUUUUUAAUCACUUUACAUUUUCCAUUUUCAAAUAUUGAAUUAGGUGGGCAUGUCGAUUCUAAUUCAGCUGAUUCUGGUGCCAUACAUUGUUGUCCUGACAAAUUGAAUCCAGGAGGACAGAUUUUAUUUGCAGGGAGAUAUUGAACACAUCUAUUUCCUUCUUCAACAAAACCAGAAGGACAAACGGUAUCAAUUUGUUGAAUUAAUUUACAUGUGCCAUUCUCCAGUAUAGUGCCUGGAGGACAUUCUGGAUUAGGAGGAGCUGUGUCUGAUUGAACACAUUGUUUUCCAGAAAAAACGAAUCCUGGGGGACAUGAUUUUUCAGGCAUAGUGAAUGCAACACAAUCUCUUCCAUUAUCUACGAAACCAGGGGGACAUACUGUAUCUAUCAUAUGUUUAGAGAUACACUCUGUUCCAUGUAAUGUAGUACCUGGAGGACAAGAUGGUUGUUGAGAAGCGGUUUUAGUAGCAGUACAUUGCUUUCCUGAUAUUUCGUAUCCUGGUGGACAUUGCUUUAGUGGUGCUGUUACUAUUAAACAAUGCCCCUCGUGAUAGAUUGCUGGUUCCUGACAGAAAGGCAUAGGAGGAACCUGGAUACGUUGGACACAAACUCCAUUCUCCAUUAAAUACCCUGGAGGGCAGCUUUCUAGCGGAGUUUCAACAUACGUAGGUACCUGGCCUUUUGUGUGUGGCAAAGGGGAAGCUACACCAGGAAUGUUGGGUUUAACCUGAGGCGCACCAAAUGCACCAAUAAUAAACGACAAUAAUAAAAUACGUUUCAUAAUAAAAGAAAAAACUAUUUAAUGAAAUUGACCUAAUAAUUAAAUUAGGGCAGAUAUUCAAAUAGUAAUUGAAAUUAUUAGGUAAAAAAUUGUUGAUUGAGGAAAAACAAUAAUUCGAGGAUACACCUAACGCAUAUAC
rnacentral:antisense_RNA from 1 species